GCCUGGGUGGCUCAGUCAGUUGAGCGUCCGACUUCGGCUCGGGUCAUGAUCUCCCAGUUCAUGGGUUCGAGCCCUGUGUUGGGCU
rnacentral:tRNA from 1 species